AACAGCCGCGGUAAUUCCAGCUCCAAUAGCGUAUAUUAAAGUUGUUGCAGUUAAAAAGCUCGUAGUUGAAUUUCGGGGUUAGCAGGUUGGUCGUGCCACUGGUAUGUACUGGCCUUGCUGAUUCCUCCCUCUUGAUGAGCCGUAAUGCCAUUAAUUUGGUGUUGCGGGGAAUCAGGACUGUUACUUUGAAAAAAUUAGAGUGUUUAAAGCAGGCAAACGCUUGAAUACAUUAGCAUGGAGUAAUGAAAUAGGACGUUCGAUCCUAUUUUGUUGGUUUCUAGGAUUGACGUAAUGAUUAAUAGGGAUAGUUGGGGGCAUUAGUAUUCAAUUGUCAGAGGUGAAAUUCUUGGAUUUAUUGAAGACUAACUACUGCGAAAGCAUUUGCCAAGGAUGUUUUCAUUAAUCAAGAACGAAAGUUAGGGGAUCGAAGACGAUCAGAUACCGUCGUAGUCUUAACCAUAAACUAUGCCGACUAGGGAUCGGAUGAUGUUAAUUUUUUAAUGACUCAUUCGGCGCCUUA
rnacentral:rRNA from 1 species